UGGACAGAUUAUUGUAUUCGACUGUAUUCACGGCGUGAAACAGGGGAUUACACUGUUUUUAAACGGAAAGUGAAUCAAUUAACAUAAAUAGACUCCU
rfam:Nicotiana attenuata strain TT chromosome 2, whole genome shotgun sequence.